ACAAUUACCAGUCAUGUUAUUAUAUGCCCUGGAGGUUUUACAAUAUUAAAUUAAAAAACAAAAAGAAAAAAAGAGCACAAGCAAUGCAUAACAAAAAGAACUCAAUACUUAUAGCUCCACAACAUAAUGAUGAAUGGUCUUGCAUUUCCACUUCUCCUUUUGAUUCUCAGAAAAUCAAAGGAAAUGGAACAGAAAAUCUUGACAUUCUUUCUCAUUUUCUUCUCCCCCCUCUUGUCGUGAUAAUAAAUUGAGUCAUAAAGAAACAAAAUAGUAGGGACAAUGCUCUUUAAGGUCCAAAUAAUCAUAAAAGCAACAAUCAUUCUACUAUAAAUCUGUAAAUAUGACCAUGUUAAGCUUUUGAGAGUAAAACAGACAAGCAUGAGCCUUGGGGGACACUAGAAUAUUUCAUUCAUCGUGAUGAACAUUUUUUUCAGAAGCAACUAUUUGCUUCUGGUGCAAAAACAUCCUGAUGAUGCUCUAGGGGGGGAGUACAUCUGCAACACAUUUAGGUAUACAGUGACAUUAUACUAAAUAAUAUUAGGAAGUCAAAAAAGACGAAUAAAGAAAGAAAACCAUGGAAGUUGCAAGCACCUGAUA
rnacentral:misc_RNA from 1 species